rnacentral:rRNA from 1 species
UACGUAGGUGGCGAGCGUUGUCCGGAUUUAUUGGGCGUAAAGCGCGCGCAGGCGGUGCGGUAAGUCUGUCGUGAAAUCUCCCGGCUCAACUGGGAGGGUGCGGUGGGGACUGCCGGACUGGAGGCACUCAGAGGCCGGUGGAAUUCCCGGUGUAGUGGUGAAAUGCGUAGAGAUCGGGAGGAACACCAGUGGCGAAGGCGGCCGGCUGGGGGUGACCUGACGCUGAGGAGCGAAAGCAUGGGGAGCGAACAGG